rnacentral:lncRNA from 1 species
UUAAGGUGGUGCCCAGGUGGGGUCCAGGUCUCAGGUGCUGCCUGUGGUUAUGAAAAGGGAGGACCCAGGGUGAAGGGGUAACGGGAGGGGUCUUCAGUGCUUCCUGAAGUCCUGUUGAGGGCGGAUCACUGCAUGCUAUGCUAGAGCCCUGCUGAAGGUGUUGUCUGGAGGUGCUCACAGGAUUUACUCCGAACGCACUUGAUUUCCGGCAGAGAUAGCCCAGGUCUGAAAGUACUGGCCACGGACGCUGUGUCUUUCCCAUGUGAGGUAUGGGGAGAGUUGUGGCUCAGAUCGUGGUGGUAGUGGUGAUGAUGGUGGUGGGGUGUAUGUGUGUGCGCGCGUGUGUGUGUAUGCCACGAACAACUUGAGAAAUAAUGUCUUUGGGUCUCACAAAUUGGUAUUUUUUCAAAGUCUUACACAGUAAGCCAGCAGAAAAUAAGUAACUUAAAAACAAAGCAAAAACAAAAAACUGUGCCUGUAGGGGACUUUAGAUCCUCACCAAGAUUCUUUCCUGGGGCCCCCGAAUGACUGGAACCUCGGGGGAAUGAUCCUUUGACAGUAGGUGGCCCCUGACCUUAGGCAGCACCACAGAAAGAGAACAGGUGAUGGCUGUGAGUCACACAGUGAACAAAGGAAUGAUUUGACAGUUUGCUACAUAAAAAUAAAAAACAUCUUCUUAGCCUGGUGUGGUAGCACACAUUUAACAGAAGAACAUUGGAGGCUGAGACAGGAUGGCUGUGACCUUAAGGCCAACCUAGGCUCUAUGAUGUGAUCCUCCCCCUCCCACUCCAGAAUAGUAACUAUAAAAAUCAUCUUUACUUAAAGGUCUCUUCAGUGUGCCAACAAACAAAAAUAUUCACGAUAUGUGCGAAUAUCAGGGACGAAGACCAGUUGCUGUGGAGUUGUCAUUUUUUAGCUCAUGUGCCAGGGACAUCCCAAGUGUCCAGGAGAAUCUGUAAAUAUCUUUCUGCUACUUAGCAGAGGCCGGAAAGAGGCAGGCAGCCACUUGGGGGCAGCAUGAAACCCGCACCCCUGUGCUGGGUGGUGGAGGCAUGGCCUCCAGGCCUACACAGCUCAGCAGCAGAGACCGCCCCACCUCCAGAUACGUAUCCUUUCUGCCCUGUGUCCCUUCCAGGGCCCAGGCUUCCUCCCCUGACCCUCUCUGUCUCUUUGGCUUUUCAGAUGGUUAGCAUUUUUCCUCCUGCCUGGCAAUUAGGACAGCUGUGGGACAUGCUUGGUGGCCUUUCCUUGCUGCUUUCUUCCUACCUCUCUGGUUGCCCCACAAGCCCUGUCCUGUCCUUACUGGCUUCAAGGCAGGCAAGCAUAGGGAAUAGCUUAGUAACUUGGGACUCCACUUAGUCUGGGCUACACCCCUCUUCUGGCAUCCUUACCUGCAUGCACAUGCACAUAACACCCCUCUCCAGUGUGCCUAGCAAACCUGUUGGCAACCUAGGACUCCCACCUGCACUGAGAUGCACAAGAUUCCACUCUGGAAAGUGGGAUGAGUUUCUCUUCCUCUUAAGGAUUUACUACACUUUAGAUCUUAUUCAGUCAUAUUGCAGUUAUGUCCAGAAUCAGAACAGGGAGACUGGCUUGGUGUGAACUGGACUGGGGUGCAUUGUGCAUUAAGGCAAAAUGUUCUGUAGGCAAACUUUUAGGGGAGAAUUCCCUAUUUACCACUUUACACCUAUGAGUAGUUGGACGUGCAUAUGAUUAAAACAAGAUGCGUUACGGGAAGAGACCUGUGCACUGGACGGAGGGCUUCUGUAUUCCAAGCCUGCCCCUCAAAAUAGAGAACCACCCAAACUCUGCCAACAGUGUCUCCUCCUUCCUCUGCUCUCCAUAGAAGAAGCCUCCAGGCAUCAACCUGGAGUCCGUGCGCAUCUUCACUCAUACGGCCCCGGUCACUCGUGAUAUCAUAGUUGACCUGUACUAUCGCUUUGCUUUGAAUAAAACUAACCUGGCUCAUG